rnacentral:rRNA from 1 species
AACUAGUCCAAUCAAGCAAAACGACUUAAAGUUUGACCUCCCGAAACUAAGCGAGCUACUUCAAGGCAGCUUUUUGAGCCAACCCGUCUCUGUUGCAAAAGAGUGGGAAGACCUUCAAGUAGGGGUGACAGACCUAACGAGCUUAGUGAUAGCUGGUUACUCAAGAAAAGAAUUUUAGUCCAACCUAAAGUUUAUUUAAUUAAUUUAAAUGCCCCUUUAACUUUAGAGCAAUUCAAAUAAGGUACAGCCUAUUUGAAACAGGAUACAACCUUUACCAACGGGUAAACAAAAUGAUUCAACAUAACUAAGUGGGCCUAAGAGCAGCCACCUUUAAAAUAGCGUCAAAGCUUAAUUGUGCCUUCAUCUAAUAUCUAACAAACCAGUGAACCCUUCCUCAAUAUUGAGUACAUCUAUAAAAAUAUAGAAGAAUUUAUGUUAAAACUAGUAACAAGAAGAAGACCUUCUCUUAAAUGUAAGUGUAAAUCAGAAAGGACACACCACUGAUAAUUAAC